rnacentral:rRNA from 1 species
UACGUAUGGAGCAAGCGUUGUCCGGAAUCAUUGGGCGUAAAGCGCGCGUAGGCGGCCCGCUAAGUCCGCUGUAAAAGUCAACGGCUCAACUGUUGAAAGCCGGUGGAUACUGUCGGGCUAGAGUACGGAAGAGGCAAGUGGAAUUCCUGGUGUAGCGGUGGAAUGCGCAGAUAUCAGGAGGAACACCGGCGGCGAAGGCGGCACUCUGGGCCGGUACUGACGCUGAGGAGCGAAAGCGUGGGGAGCAAACAGG